AUUGAACGCUGGCGGCAGGCCUAACACAUGCAAGUCGAGCGAGCGGCGGACGGGUGUGUAAUGUAUGGGGACUGCCCGAUAUAGGGGGAUAACUACAGGAAACGGUAGCUCAUACCGCAUACUAUCGGAUAAACCCUAUGGGAUUAGCUCGUAGGUGAGGUAAUGGCUCACCUCGGCGACGAUCCCUAGCUGGGCUGAGAGGGUGAUCAGCCACACUGGGACUGAGACACGGCCCAGACUCCUACGGAGGCAGGAGUGGGGAAUAUUGCACAAGGGGCGCAAGCCUGAUGCAGCCAUGCCGCGUGUAUGAAGAAGGCCUUAGGGUUGUAAAGUACUUUCAGUCGGGAGGCGUUACCGACAGAAGAAGCACCGGCUAACUCCGUGCCAGCAGCCGCGGUAAUAC
rnacentral:rRNA from 1 species